rnacentral:rRNA from 1 species
GUUUUUCGCUCUAUGAUCAGCCCGCGUGAGAUUAGCUAGUUGGUGAGGUAACGGCUCACCAAGGCAACGAUCUCUAACAGGUCUGAGAGGAUGAUCUGUCACACUGGAACUGAGACACGGUCCAGACUCCUACGGGAGGCAGCAGUAGGGAAUAUUGCACAAUGGAGGAAACUCUGAUGCAGCGACGCCGCGUGAGUGAUGAAGGACUUCGGUUCGUAAAGCUCUGUCGCAUGGGAAUAAGAAAGUG